CAACGAGCUCAUUAUGAUAAUUCCUAACCCCGUUCAGUAGAAAUAAAUUUAAGAAAGAAAACGAAUCAACCAAAAUAGAUGAAGAAACAGCCAAGCCACCAAACCCAGAUAAACCAAGCCUAUCAGAAGAACAGACUGUGAGGAAUAUUGAAAUCACCGAUUAAGAAUAUAGAAAAAGGGCAAGUUAUAGGUAUUAUACAUUCAAGUAGUAACCUAAGUAAGAAGGACAAAAGUAUGUUCCACAUCAGGUGUGCCACGGUGAAUCAAAGAUAAUUAACAUAAUAAUAUGAUCUCUUCUUCUUCU